GUCCACGCCCUAAACGAUGCUUACUUGCUGUUUGUUCUUCGGAAUGAGUGGCGUAGAGAAAUCGCUAAGUAAGCCACCUGGGGAGUACGCCCGCAAGGGUGAAACUCAAAGGAAUUGACGGGGUCGCACAAGCGGUGGAGCAUGUGGUUUAAUUUCGAUGAUACGCGAGGAACCUUACCCGGGUUAGGAAUGUGACUGAAUGAGGGUGAAAGCCUUCAGGCUCGCAAGAGACAGGAAACAAGGUGCUGCAUGGCUGUCGU
rnacentral:rRNA from 1 species